CCUACGGGUGGCAGCAGUAGGGAAUUUUGCGCAAUGCUCGAAAGCCUGACGCAGCAACGCCGCGUGAUCGAGACGCCCUUCGGGGUGGAAAGGUCUGUCAGUGGGGGCGAAACUUGACGGUAACCACAGGGGAAGCACCGGCUAACUCCGUGCCAGCAACCGCGGGAAUACGGGGGGUGCAAGCGUUGGCCGGAAUCAUUGGGCGGAAAGAGGUCGUAGGCGGCACGGAAAGUCAAGUGUUAAAGGCAGAGGCUCAACUUCUGUACGGCACGGGAUACUUGCGAGCUAGAAGGCGGUAGAGGUAAAGGGAAUUCCUGGUGUAGCGGUGAAAUGCGUAGAUAUCAGGAGGAACAGCGGUGGCGUAAGCGCUUUACUGGGCCGUAAUUGACGCUGAGGAACGAAAGCCAGGGUAGCAAAUGGGAUUAGAUACCCUUGUAGUC
rnacentral:rRNA from 1 species